CAACUCCUUUACCUUCAAACUUCUCUUCCAACCAGUCACAUAGUCUGUAGAUUUUUACCUACCAUUUUUUUUUUUGUAUUUUCCCUUUUCUUUCUAGUCUUGCUGCCCAAGAGGAAACUUUCAUAAUGUCUUAUCUGAAUACUGUAUUUGCCUAAAAACUGGUUUCUUCACUUUAAAACCCCCUCCCUUUAAUCCAUUCUAAACAGAGCUGCAGGAUGAAGCCUCUGAAACCAUGGCCUUGAAUAGAGAAUACUUAUUCUAAUAACAAUGGCAACACAAGAGCAACAACAACAAAAUUCAAUCGCUUCUCAUUUUCUUCUGAAUUUCUUUACCGAGCGUCCACAAACCUUCCGAUUCUGACCCGAUCAUUUUCGUGUUCGUAUUUCUCUCUUUUCUUUCUCGUGCACCCUGUGUGCUUUCUCAUUUAUUCCCUCUCUCACGUCCUCAGGCUUUCAUCCCUAUGCUUGUGUGUAUAUUCUUCUCUUUGUCAGAAAUCCUGUCCUUUCCAAUCUUUGACAGCCGAAAUCUUAUCUAUCAUUUAAGGCUCAUCCAAAACCCCAUCUUCUCUAUAUUUCUUUCUCUAAUUCCUUGAUAAGAGAUUUCCCUCCUAUGAACUGAGUUUUGAAGGCAAAUUUUUUUUUUUUUGUAGAAGAAAGCUAUCUGGUUUGUUAUCAAAAGUUUGCUUCUGAUCCAGUUAUGUUCUUUAGUUCAUUAACAAAAAAAUUAUAGAGUCAGGCUGACAGUAUUGGUUGGACUUAGAGAAAGUUUAGCUGUAAAUGGAGUACUUUGGACCUAUUUUCAUCAUUGAUCUGCACAAGACCCCCUCUUGUGUAUUUAUUCUCCUUUGUCCCCAUUUCCUUUUGCUAUUUCUCUCUGUUCAUAUGUGCUAUGCAAAUAAAUUGUAUCAUUUGUGUUCUUUUAAAAGAUGUGCUAUUGCUUGUGCACAAAUAUAUUUAAUCUCGAUGCUUUUCUGCUAUAUGUCUUAUUUUGUUUUAAAUUUUCGGCAUCUAUGUUGCUGUGCAAACGUAAGGUCCACUUGUUCUAGCCAAUGCCUACUGCUCCACACAGGGUUAUUUUCCAGUUCGUAUGCACGUCGUACAAAUUGUUAAAAUAAUAGAAAUGCCUUCACAUGGGUUGGUAAACAGUGAUUUACUGCUACUAGAUUUCUGGAUCGCUCUACAAUCUAGCAUCUACAAGGUUAACACCAAGCUCUUUUGGGGGGGUGUGGCAUGGGAGGUCUCUAGGAG
rnacentral:lncRNA from 1 species